UACGUAGGUGACAAGCGUUGUCCGGAUUUACUGGGCGUAAAGAGCGCGCAGGCGGCCGAUCAAGUCGAGUGUGAAAGCCCCCGGCUCAACUGGGGAGGGUCAUUCGAUACUGAUCGCCUCGAAGGCAGGAGAGGGUAGUGGAAUUCCCGGUGUAGUGGUGAAAUGCGUAGAUAUCGGGAGGAACACCAGUGGCGAAGGCGACUCCCUGGCCUGUUCUUGACGCUGAGGCGCGAAAGCUAGGGGAGCAAACGGG
rnacentral:rRNA from 1 species